CCAAGGAAGGCAGCAGGCGCGAAAAUUACCCACUUCCAGCGCGGAGAGGUAGUGACUAGUCAUAACAAAUAUAGACCCUAGUGGUUUGUAUUUGGACUGGUGAGAUGUUAUAAAUAUCUCAGUAAUCUAGAUCAGGGCAAGUCUGGUGCCAGCAGCCGCGGUAAUACCAGCCUGAUCAAGCGUAUGCUUUAGUUGCUGCGUUUAAAAAGCUCAUAGUUGGAUCUUCGAAAGCGUGAUCAUCAAAGGGCGUAGUUCGGUUACGGUCGUUCUAUUCCUGGUCACGGUCUUUCACUAUACUUGGAAGACAGUUUAUUCUUAACUGAAUAGACUGAUCGAAAACAAGUGAUAAACCUUGAAAAAAUUAGAGUGCUCAAAGCAAGCUUUGGCCUUGAAUUUUAAAGCAUGGAAUUGAGGAAGAGGACCAUUAUGGUCGUGAACCAUUUUGGUAAUGAUUAAAAGGAACAGACGGGGGCAUACGUAUUGCUCGGGGAGGGGUGAAAUCCGUAGAUCCCAGCAAGACGACCUACUGCGAAAGCAUUUGCCAAGAAUGUUUUCAUUAAUCAAGAACGAAAGUUAGAGUAUUAAAGAGGAUUAGAUACCCUCGUAAUUCUAACCUUAAACGAUACCAUCCUAAUCUUAGCCAAUGUAAUUUAUUACUUGGUUAGGAUUAAACCGGGAAACCAAAGACAUUUGGUUCCGGGGGGAGUAUGGUUGCAAAAUCGAAACUUAAAGGGAAUUGACGGAGGGGCACCACCAGGAGUGGAGCCUGCGGCUUAAUUUUGACUCAACACGGGGAAACCUACCAGGUCCAGACAUCUCA
rnacentral:rRNA from 1 species